GAUGAACGCUAGCGGCAGGCUUAACACAUGCAAGUCGAGGGGUAACAGAAAAAGCUUGCUUUUUGCUGACGACCGGCGAACGGGUGCGUAACGCGUAUACAACUUACCCUUAACUAGAGGAUAGCCCCGAGAAAUCGGGAUUAAUACUCUAUAAUAUCACUAGAUGGCAUCUGAAGGUGAUUAAAGCUCCGGUGGUUAAGGAUGGGUAUGCGUGAUAUUAGUUAGUUGGUGAGGUAACGGCUCACCAAGACUACGAUAUCUAGGGGUUCUGAGAGGAUGAUCCCCCACACUGGUACUGAGACACGGACCAGACUCCUACGGGAGGCAGCAGUGAGGAAUAUUGGUCAAUGGACGCAAGUCUGAACCAGCCAUGCCGCGUGUAGGAAGACUGCCCUAUGGGUUGUAAACUGCUUUUAUAUAGGAAGAAACCCUCUUACGUGUAAGAGGCUGACGGUACUAUACGAAUAAGGACCGGCUAACUCCG
rnacentral:rRNA from 1 species